rnacentral:ncRNA from 1 species
AGGAGCCGUGUGAGAUGAAAGUCUCAUGCACGGUUUUGAAUGAGAGAAAGAAGUGAGGAAUUUGUAUUUUAUUGAUAUUAU